rnacentral:rRNA from 1 species
AGAGUUUCAUCAUGGCUCAGGAUAAACGCUGGCGGCGUGCCUAACACAUGCAAGUCGAACGCGCUGAGUGAUCAGCGAGUGGCGGACGGGUGAGUAAUACAUGGGUAACCUACCCCAAAGUGAGGAAUACCGGCGAGAAAUCGCCGACAAUACCGCAUAUGCUUCGCGAGAAGCAAAGUCGCAAGACGCUUUGGGAUGGGCCUGUGGCCGAUUAGCUGGUUGGUGGGGUAAUGGCCUACCAAGGCGACGAUCGGUAGCUGGUCUGAGAGGAUGAUCAGCCACACUGGGAUUGAGAACGGCCCAGACUCCUACGGGAGGCAGCAGUGAGGAAUUUUCGGCAAUGGGCGCAAGCCUGACCGAGCAACGCCGCGUGCAGGAAGAAGGUCUUCGGAUCGUAAACUGCUUUUCUCGGGGAUGAAUUUAUGACAGUACCCGAGGAAGAAGCCUCGGCUAACUACGUGCCAGCAGCCGCGGUAAUACGUAGGAGGCGAGCGUUGUCCGGAGUUACUGGGCGUAAAGGGCACGCAGGCGGUCUGUUAAGUUCACGGUGACAGUCAUCAGCUUAACUGGUGAAGUGUCUUGAAAACUGACGGACUUGAGGGCCAGAGAGGGACCUGGAAUUCCGGGUGGAGCAGUGAAAUGCGUAGAUAUCCGGAGGAACACCAAUGGCGAAGGCAAGGUCCUGGCUGGCACCUGACGCUGAGGGGCGAAAGCUAGGGGAGCGAACGGGAUUAGAUACCCCGGUAGUCCUAGCCGUAAACGAUGACCACUAGAUGCGCGGGGUUCGACCCCCUGCGUGUCGUAGUUAACACAAUAAGUGGUCCGCCUGGGGAUUACGGUCGCAAGACUAAAACUCAAAGGAAUUGACGGGGACCCGCACAAGCAGCGGAGCGUGUGGUUUAAUUCGACGCGACACGAAGAACCUUACCAGGGCUUGACAUGCAGUCGCACCGUCCAGAGAUGGACGUGCCCGCAAGGGACGGCUGCACAGGUGCUGCAUGGCUGUCGUCAGCUCGUGCCGUGAGGUGUUGGGUUAAGUCCCGCAACGAGCGCAACCCUUGUCGUCAGUUACAAUGUCUGACGAGACUGCCACUAACUAGGUGGAGGAAGGUGGGGAUGACGUCAAGUCAGCACGGCCCUUACAUCCUGGGCGACACACACGCUACAAUGGCCGAGACAAAGAGUGGCGAACCCACGAGGGCGAGCGAAUUUUAGCAAACUCGGUCUCAGUUCGGAUUGCGGGCUGCAACCCGCCUGCAUGAAGUCGGAGUUGCUAGUAACUGUGAGUCAGCAUAUCACAGUGAAUACGUUCUCGGGUCUUGUACACACCGCCCGUCACACCACGAAAGUCGGCAACACCUGAAGCCGCCGAGCUAACCUCUCGGAGGACGCAGGCGUCGAAGGUGAGGUCGGUGAUUGGGGUGAAGUCGUAACAAGGUAGCCGUA